CUUUUCUUUCACAUCACAUAACAGGGACUUCUUGCAAGGAGAUGCACUUUCUCUGUCUUCCUGCUUAGUUGUUUCUGAUACAGUUUUCCCAGAUGAUCGAUUAUGAGCUGCAGAUUUUGUGCCUAUGUGACCAGGGCUCGGGCAUUUUCUGUCAUUGAUUAUAGGAGAGGGGGAUCUUUCCCUUGCUUCCACUCUUCUGUUUCUGGGGACAGGAUUGGCUGCAGGUAACUCCCCGCUGAGCCGAUCGGGUAGGAGGCUUUCUUUGUUCAAGUUCAUCUCGGAGUAUGGGCAGCUGACUGCACUAUGAUGGCCAAUAUGUCUUGCUCUUUUAACAUGUCCAACUCCUUUACAUCCUGCCGUGGGACAUCCUCCAUGCUCCAAGGCUU
rnacentral:lncRNA from 1 species